GGCUCUUUCUUUUUUUUUCUUUUUCUUGCAGAUGAUCUGGCAUUUAGGUAAUGGCCACCUUCCAGGCAGCCCACCUGUCCACACCAACCUCUCUGGGAAAUCAGCUGCAGCCCCCCUGCUGCACUCUACAGGAUACACAAACUGGGCUCUAGCAGUCCAAGCCGAGAGAGUUCUCCAAGACCUCCCUGUACCACAGGCCUCUUGGGCAGGCCUGCCCGACCACAGGACCAUCAGGCUUUCAGCCAGAAAGUUACAGUAAAUCAGGCCCGCCUUCUUUCCAUGAGGUCCUGCUGUUCUCUGGGUUCAGGCCUCCUGUCUCAUAUAGGAGAAGGGGCAGCAGCGAGAGCUUCUUCCAGGCCCAGAGGUCCAAAUCCCACCCCCAGGCCAAGGUAGUCUUUCUAGGGGUUUUCAGAGGCUGCCCAGUCCUGUGACCUCCAGCUCACGCUACAAAGGGCAGAGAGGGCGCAGCUAGCGUCAGAAGGACAGGCUGCCUGCUCCCGCCAGGCGGCCUGCCCUUCAUGUUCUUGGACUUCAGCCCAGGAUCCCUGCAGGUUCUGACAUCAAGUUGGACCAUCCUUUUGAAUGAGGCGGGUUCAAGGUUGAAGCUGCCCAUCUUCUGGGGUCCCAGCAUUGUGAACACUGCGUGCCAGGAGAAGGGGAAGCAGGAUGCAGAAUUUCAGCAAAAACCAGCAGGAUACUGGGGCAGGUCAGUGAUGUGGGCUGUGGCCAGCGCCGCGCCGUUGCUCCCAGGUCGGCAACGUUAACAGGGGAAGGGAACCCGCGGGAGCGCGCACAGCCGACUGACCAGCGACCGAACCGCCAGCUGCGAAUUCCUCCGGCCUUCCAUCAGCGCGGCCCGACGACGGGCUUCCUCGCCGCGGUGAGGUCAGCGCCUCGCUCCCCCUCCCACCCCUCCUCCGGGCUGGCCCCGCGCCGGGGAUCCCGGCCCCCAAUAUCCGCUCACUGCGCCUCGAGCCCCCGGCUGAACCGUCCCCCAGCCUGUCCCUCCCCCAGCCCCGGGUCCACGCCCUGUCCAGGUCCCCGCGGCAGGGCCCUCCCCACCCGGAUGCCCCAGUCUGGUCCAGGCCUGCGCCUUGCAGCCCCCUCUCGGACCUUGCACUUGAGGCCCAGUCCGGUGCGGGAGCCCCAGAUGGGGCGGCCCCUCCCGCAGUCCGCCGCCCUCUGCCGGCCCCGCGGAGCCCUAUUUCGGGACCUGGCGCUGCGGGCCAGGCCAGGGCAGCCCUGCCCGGAAGAGAGGCUAUUCUGGGCCGGGCCGCGGAGCAGCUGCGACCCCAGGACUUCCCGGCAGGGUGCGUGCCCGGGAUAGAGGGCACGUUGGGGCAGGGCUCCCCUCCCUCCCCAGCACCCCACCUUCUUCCCAGGCCGCGCCCCGUUCCCUCCCCUUUUUGGCCGGGCCCUGGUCCUUCCCUAGUCCGGGAAGCAAGGGAAGCCACAUUCUCUGGUGCAGCGCCUGUCCGCCCUUGCUCCCUGCCUGUGUCCGAGGGACGCGGCUUCUGUGCCCACUGUCUCCUACCCGCGUGUCCCAUUUACCUGGACUUCCUAACUGUGACUCUCCUGUCCCCAUGGGUGACCCUCCACCCUAAUUCAGUGUUGAACCCCAUAUCCCAGGUGGACAUGGGUGUCUCCAUAAUGAUCAUUAAGUGAAAGUUGUCACAGGGUCACCUUUAGGGCGCCAAAUCCCAGCCCCUUAGGGGAUCUCAUUACCCCAUGUUCUGCAAAGGUCUGAUCAAAGGUUUCAGCUGCCCCUUGCGGGGAGUGACCACUUCUCUAGGUGGCCCCAGCUCUCUGGGCUCUCUGGGACACUGUCCUCCAUCUGUGAAGCAGGAUGCAGGUAAGUGCAGCGAGCCCCCCCCCAGAAAGUGCAAGGAGACAGAUCUGUGCCCCACCAUCAGAAUGCAAGUUACUGCCGGGAUCUAAACCAAAUCACUCUCCCUGGAGCCCAGGAUUUCCCAAAAGAGCUCGGAGGAGCAAAGCAAAGGCCCCUCUCUGCCCAUGGGUGGCCAGCUGUUCUGUAGCGUUCAUCUUCUCUCGGAGGGAUAGCAGGACCCAUCAGCUGGAUCUCAUUAAAAUGCAGAGGCAUCGUCUGGUCUGGGGCUGCCUUUGUGGCCUUGAUCUUGCUGGGCCCACACAGAGGAGCUGGAGGAAGGUUCCCCACCCCCACCCCUCAGUCCUGGGGCGGCUCUGCUGUUUGCUCUUCCAGGGAGGAAAUGGAGCAGAGAGGAAGAGGCUGGGAAAGUGCAGAGGGAUUGAACUCAUGACCUAGGGCUUGCCAGACAGGCGCUUAAACCACCGAGCUAAAUCCCCUGCCCCAAGAAAAUAAAUUCUAUACAAAUUAAAAAUGAAAGUUUUUUUUUUUGUAGUAUUGGGAAUUGAACUCAAAGCUUUUGUGCUGAGUUACUUUUUUUUUUUUUUUUUAAUUGGUUUGAAACAAAAUCUCAGUCACAAAAUUGCCCAGGCUGGGCUCAAGUAAAUUUAAAAUCUUCCUGCCCUGGCCUCCCAGAGUAGGAUUAUAAGCAUACACUGCCAUGGCCAGCAAUCUAAGCAAUUCUAUGGGUAAAAGCCAGCAUACACUUGUAAUGCCAGCUACUUGGGAGGCUGAGGCAGGAGGAUGGCAAGUACAGUUCAAGGCCAUCCUGGGCAAUUUAACAGUCUCAAAAUAAAAGAAGGCUGGGACAGUAGCUAGUUGUAGAGCAUUUGCCUAGAAUGCGUGAGGCUGCGGGUUCUGUCCUGCACACACACACCAGGACUGUAAAAAAAAAAAAAGCCUUGCCAGUCACCUGUACCUGGAUAGAAAUCUUAUAAAAGGAGCACAGCCUGCAGAGAAGAGAGAGCAGAGAGAGAAAAGUGUGGUUUACACGGGGCCCAGGAAGAGCCAGGAAACCACUUUCUCCCUGGGGCUUUUCAUCUGUCUUUCAGGGCAUGCUGGAGCAGGUGAGGGGAAACCCACACGCAUGUGCCAGCACCUGCCUUCCUAAAUAUGGAACAGCUGUCCUGGGCUUUGACUCAUUCGGCAGGGCACAGUGGUUUGCUUCCUGCUGGGGAGGGGAGGGGCGCCCUCACUCUUGAGUGGAAGUGGGAGCGCAGUCAAUGGGCGGUGAAUUACAGUGAAGUUACCAAGAGUACAGUCCUCUCAUCACAACUCGGUGGCUGAGGCCGUGAUUUUCAGGUGAACCAGAGCCGCAGCCCACACACACACACCCCAGCUGUGUCCCCUUUUCCUGCCAGACCAGUAUCUGCCUGGUCCUGGGGGCUGACAAUCCAGGGUGCAGCGGGGAAGCUGGGUGGUCACCACCGCUGGAGCCAGACAGGCUAGGUCCUUGUUGUCACUGGUCAGACCAAACUGCCACAGGGGGCCCAGGCGAACCUCGGGUUCACUGCCUGACAUUUGACAGAGUAGGGGAAGAGACGGAUGUCUUCUCCUUUCACCUGUUUCAAGCCUCCCCCUUUGCCGUACCCCCAAAUCUAUUUCCCAAUUCUGGGUCCUUAAGGAAACUUACAAGGGUGGCUUCCUUUCCAGAUGAGCAUUUUCCCAGAUGGGACUGGGUAAAAGUCAUCGGUCUCUUGUUUCUUCCAGGGAAGGACAGGGGCCCAUCCUGGAGAGGGACAAGGGUGCAGGGAGAGGGGAACUGGGAGAUCGCACCCACUCUCACUUCUGCUUUCCUGGGAAUACACACGGAGCUACCAGACUCCUACUUCGCAAUUUCCCCCACUGAGCCCACUGGGCCAUUUGCAUGUGUCUCGGUGAAAUUCCAGAUCAGUGUGGUCCCUCCUCCCAUGGUCCCCAGAGGGCCGCUGGAGCAUCUUUGGGGAACCAAGGGUGGGGAUUUGCUGCGUGGGACAGUGUUGACUACCCCAAACCUUCCCCUGGGUGAUUCAGUCUUAUUCAACGGAUGGACGGCGUCAGGCUGUUUUCCUAGAAUGUUGCAACAGGGGUACUAGGGUUUUUCCAGAGAUUUCCACUGUCCGUGACCCAACCCCAGGCCCCCCAACGGAACUCUUGGUGCCCCCAGUGGUGAGGCUGGCUGUUUGUUUGCCCUCGGGCAUCGUUAGAUAUUUCUCUAAACACUUUCUGAGGGUGGGCUCUGGGGGGGUGGGGGUCCAAGUGGGCACACAAUAGACUCUUGGCCUAUGUUUUUCUUUCUUGAUAUGCAUUUGUUUAAUGAAUGGAAUGGUUGGAAAUAGCAGGAAGGUAGCAGUUUUUAAUUUUCUUUCUUUCUUUCUUUCUUUCUUUCUUUCUUUCUUUCUUUCUUUCUGAGGUAGAGUCACACAAUGCAGUUCAAACUGGCCUCAAACUUACUGUAUUGCCCAGGCUGGCCUUGAACCCACAUCGAUUCUCCUGCCUCAGCUCCCACCUGCUGGGAUUAUAAGUGGGCACCAUCAUCCCUGCCUUAAGUUUUUCUUUAAGAACACAAAUCCUAUCCCAAGUCCUCCUCUCCUGUAUCCUUAUGUUUGGCUUCCCUCAUGUUGGGUUAGAUCAUUACACUCUCCAGCCCUAAAUCCUAAAAUUCUUUAAAUUGCUCAGCCUGGGCUCAAGCUUUUGAUCUUUCUGCCUCAGCCUCCCAGAGAACUAGGAUGACAGGGGUGCACCACCAUGCCCUACUCUACACCCUUUAACUCUCUGGCAGUAGGUUUGUGUGUGACCAAGUGCUUUGCAUCCUUUCUCUCCCUGUUUCUGAUUCUUAGCAGCUGCGGUAAGGAACUGGGCUGCCUUUCCUAGCCAACCUCAGAGGGCUGGGCACAGUGUCCUUAAUUAACCCUGGUUGAGUUUCAGGGUCAGGCCCCAGUUUCGGUGUGUUGGAGCCCGUUGUCCUGCUGAGAAGUCCCCGCCAGCUCCGUAUCCUGUGACAGUGUCUGGGUUGGCAGAGGAGGGUCUGUGUGGUCUCAUUCAGCAGUGAAUCUGUCUGACUCCCGGGAAAGGGACUUUACCGUGGGGAUGCCUUUCACAUGGGUGAUUCUCUAAGAGCCCUGAUAGAAAGAGAUGUUGGAAAUUGUACCAUGUGUAUCUUAAACUUGAAGGGAAAUCUUUUCAAAAAAGUCAGGAAACUCUGGCAAAACAAACAAAACAAAACAAAACAAAUAUAAACAGUGAUAAAUUCUAAGACUGAAAAUGAGAGAAUGGUGAACUGAGAGGGAAAAAUGCACAACUGAGACACGGGACUCCCAGAAGGGUGCCAGGAGAAGGGGUUGGCGGCUGGCACCUUCCCAGAGCCCCUCCUGUUUCAAAAGGGUGAGGAGGGAGGAUAUAGGGGGCCCAGGAGCCCAAGGCAAGUGCCGAGGGGCAGGGUGGCUCUGGGGUGGAAGCGGGCAACAGAGCAUCAGCCCCUAAUAAAACUUCUAAGACAGAAAGGAAUUUCCAGACUGUGAUCACAGCCAGAAGAGCGAGCCACGGGCAGGGCCGGUCCUCAGGUGACAUGGCAGAAGAGGAAUGGAAGAAACAUGGAGCCCACUGUUUAUCUAUUUGUUUCUCAGUGUUGGGGAGUUGAAUCAUGGGCUUUGAGGUUACUAUACAAUGGCUCUACCGCAGAACUAUUUCCCAGUCCUUUAAAAAGCCUUUUUUCUCUCCAUUUUUUUUUUUUUUUGUCUUUUUCUUUUUUAUCGGUACCAGGGAUCAAACUCACAACCACACACUUGCAAGGCAGGCGCUUAUGCCGCUGAGCUAAAUCCCCAGCCCCUAAAAAGCUUUUUAAAAAAAAAAAUUUUUUUUUGAAAUAGGAUCUCACUAAGUUGCACAGGCUGACCUCAAACUUGUAAUGCUCCUGCCUCAGUGUCCCAAGUACCUACAGUUACAGAUGUGCUUUUAUUGAGCACUUAACUGUCACUGGUCUGUCCUGAAGACGGUCAGUUUCCUCAAACCAGCAGAGCAGGGACCGUGGACGUUCCUACAAGGGACCAAGACCAGGCCAUCAUGUUCCUACUGCUUUCCAAACAGCCUCGCAAGGCACUGAGGCCACUGCAUGGCCUGGUGGGGCCCAGGAGGGCCUGGAGGGCCGAGAAGGGGAGGCUGGGUGGGAGGGGUCUGGGCAGGCAGAUAUCGCCAUCAUGGUGGAGCGGGAGGAAGCCAGCCCUGGCCUGAGGCCUGAAAGCUAUGCCCUGCCAGUCACCCUGAGAUCACAGAAGAUAGGAAGGUGGGUCAAACUCUCAGGAAACUGGAAAUCAGUGUGUAUAAUGUUAAUCACCAGUAAAACUUGGUAAUGAAUCAUUUUGAAAAUUCAUUUAUUCAUACCUUUAGUCAACAGAUAUCUAUGCAGAGUCUUGAUGUGCAACUACCAUGCUAGGCGUAGGGAUGAAAUCUGUUUUUGUUUGUUUUCACACAGGGUCUCCCAGUGCAGUUCAGGCUGGCUUUGAACUCACUGUGUAGCCCAGGCUACACUCAAAUCCCUGGUGAUGCUCCUGCCUCAACCUCCCAAAUGUUGGGAUUAUUAGCAUGCACCAUCAUGCUCAGCUUAUAUUUUGAAACUUUAAUAAAAUGACUAUAAGGGCGGAGAAUGUAUUUCAGCUGCACAAGUGCCGGCCUGACAAGUGCAAGGUCCUGAGUUCUAUUGUGAAGGGAACAAAAGAAUAUUGUAACAUAAACUAUCCUUUUUUCCCCCAAGUUUUUCUUUCUUUUUUUUUUUUUUAAAUAUAAGCAUUCUAUUAACAACUCAGUUUAAAAUCACUCCUUUUUGCUUUGAUGGAAUUGUUAGAUCACAGAAAUGCUUUGGAUAUAAAAUGCCUUCAAUGCAUCAAAACAUUUGACUUCCUCUGAUAGCAUUAUGCAAGAGGUGAAAAAGUAGCCUAGAAAACAAUCCGAUUACAGCAAAUAGAUUUAAUAUAAACAGAACCAGACUCUGUGGAUAAAGAAACUAUGCCCAUGUGGAAAUAAGUCCCUAAAAGGGUGCCUCAGGGCACUGACAAAAUACCGCUCAACAUUUUUGUCAGUGACUUGAACAAAGACCACAAAAGUGUAUGCUCAGAGUUUCAGAUGAAACAAAGUUAAAGGGUAACUCCAAACAUGAUGAAAGGCCAGAACAGAGGUGGCAAACUCAUAGCACACGUGCCAUUUAGGCUUUAAAGCUCUAAAAGGUCUGCCAUCACUAGGCUAGGGCAACACCAAUGAAAUUGAACAGGAUUAAAUGUAAAACUCAACAACCAGAAUUCCCAGAUGCCCUAGAAUUGGGGGAGCCCUGGGAGGAAAAACAGGCUGGUUGGUUGUAAAUGAGUUACUGCUUGGAUGUCACAGUGCAAAGCAGUGCAGGAAGAUUGAAAUGACACCCAGGGUUUGGAGGUAGAUUUGUUUACGCUGAUGGACACUGAUCAGGAUCAUUCCCAGGUCAGGGCCUGAUGUCUAGUGGUCCAGGGCUUAUGUGGGAUAAGCAGGAGGAGUACACAGGCAGAAUGGAUUGGUUUGUACAGUGGUUUGUACAGUGUGCAUCACAGUGACCAGUGUGUCUAAGAGACAGAAGCGACCGGACCUGGGGCAGGAACCUGGGCAUCUAAGAAACAAGUGUACUGGCCGGGGCAGGGGCAUUUUCCUUUAUAAUAGACACCAGACAGCCAUCAUCAUGUCCUUAGUCCUCAUCAGAUGGACCCAGGGAACAGCUUUCCACCUCCAAUGGCCGGCAGCAGUGCUGGGAGGUGGGCACCAACGUAGGAGAGGACAAUGAGACCCACCUUCACAAGCAGCAGGCGGUGGAGGCCGGAGUGUCGCCUGGGGAGGUGAAGAGGUGGUCUGAAUGUGACGUGUCCCUUGGAACAUAUGCUGGACUUCAAUCACAUUCUGAGUUGUUUAAGAGAGGAGACAAUCUGGCUGCUGUGUUUCAGGGGGCGUUAAGAGGGGACUGGUCCUCCGGGUGGAGCUGCCAUAAUAGAACUCUUGUGGCUGGGUAAGAAGAGAGAGAAAGACUAGAAGAGACAUUGCUUACACCUGUGAGCUCCAUCUCUGCCAUGUGACACUCGGUGCCUCGCAGAGCUCUGUGGGUGAAGGCCACACCACAUGAGGCAUCCAGGCCUUGCACUUCCAGAACCAUGAGCUGAAUGAACCUCUUGUCUUUAUAAAGUAAUCUGCCUCCGGGAUUUUGUUACAGCAAUAAAAAUCACUCAGACUUAUAAAGAGUUUCAUCAGCUAGUUGAUCCUCAGGCAAUGGUUAAUAAAUCUAGCAAUGACCUCCCUCAGAAGAAAAGCAAGGAAAGGAAGGUUCCAGGAGACAGGCUCCACCUUGGUGCAAUGGAGGAGGAGUAAAAUGCUGAUUACUGAGGGCCCCUGGCUACCAGGUUCUCAGAGAAAUACUUCAUCUCCAGCCAAGGCAUAUGACUGCUUUGUCACACUGACCAGACAAUACAGAAACACUAGGCUGGCCGUGUGGGAAUCAGGGUGGGAGGGAGGCCCCAGAGAAGACCCCAGCAGCCGCAGAAGCCCUUCCUUCUGAGCUGGAUGUCUUUGAGGAGAAAGGGGCAGCAACUCAGACCAUGCUGCCAUGCCUGACAGGGGCAGCUGUCAGGGGUGUAUGCUGGUCUCCAGAGCCCUAACCCCGAGGCUCAGGUAUAGAAAAGGAACUGGAAGGACAGGGGGAGGAGCAGAGAGAGACCCAUGGGAGACAGGAAGUGGGAAGUGCAGGGGAGACCAGGGGCCAAGAGCAGGGCACAGUGGCAGCU